GACUGUUUAGAGCCUCGGCUAAAUUUUUUCCAAUUAUUAUUUGGUGCGGUUUCUAUAAGGUUCCAACCUUAAACAAUCC
rnacentral:tRNA from 1 species